CAAUAGCGUAUAUUAAAGUUGUUGCAGUUAAAAAGCUCGUAGUUGGAUUUGUGGCGUACGGUGGGUUCCGGGCACUUGUUGUCUGAGUAACUUGCUGUUGCCAUCCUUGGGUGGAACCUGUGUGGCAUUAGGUUGUCGUGCAGGGGAUGCCCAUCAUUUACUGUGAAAAAAUUAGAGUGUUCAAAGCAGGCUUAUGCCGUUGAAUAUAUUAGCAUGGAAUAAUGAGAUAGGACUUUUUUGCUAUUUUGUUGGUUUGCGCAAAGAGGUAAUGAUUAAUAGGGACAGUUGGGGGUAUUCGUAUUCCAUUGUCAGAGGUGAAAUUCUUGGAUUUUUGGAAGACGAACUACUGCGAAAGCAUUUACCAGGGAUGUUUUCAUUAA
rnacentral:rRNA from 1 species